CACACCCCCCCACUGCUUGUGUGAACGUAAACACACAUACACACACCACAGAAGCGUGUGGUUGACCGCACCGGCUCUCGGCUAUGUGUGAAGACUCGCGCGGCACGCCAAAGAAGCAGCACAACUGAAUCUGACGCUUGCUUUGUAGCAGGACCGGCAACCAGAUAGCAUCGAAAACCAUCCUACUUUCUCUCUCUCUCUUUUUCCUCUCCCUCUCUUUUCAGUUGUACUUGUGUGAACAGAGCUGGAGAAAAGGAAAUACCCCCCACCCCAUCAUCAUCUGUCUCUCUCUCUCUCUCUCUCUCUCUCUUUCUGUCUGUCCUGUGGUGGGAUAAACAGUGAAAAGAUGAGCCUGUGAUACAGCACCAGACCUGAGUGACCUGACAGCUCAAACUAAUCCUGUUCAGACAAGAAGAAAUGCUGCCAGUUGAAGCCUAGUCUCUGAUAGCAGUGGAGAACAACCAGUCUACUUCCCGGAAGAAUACAAGACUUCUCUGAUCUGGUUCAUCGGACAGAGUGACUUGCCACGCUCCGACUGCCCCCUUCUCCCCACAGCAUCAGACACCUCUGUGGUUGCAGUGAGACACCACCUGCUCAGCCACAGCUGUACAUGGAGACCCCCAGUUGGGCAGAAACCAAACCAGGAAACGGGCUGUGUAAAACAGGAAGCAUUGCUCUCUUUGGAAACGUAGUGUACAGUGGGCUGCUGAACGAUCACUUCUGGCAUUUCGGGGUGCCCCUUGUCACAAGACUGG